rnacentral:piRNA from 1 species
UAAAACACAGUGUUGGAGUAAAG